CGGCCACAUUGGGACUGAGAUACGGCCCAGACUCCUACGGGAGGCAGCAGUGGGGAAUAUUGCACAAUGGGCGCAAGCCUGAUGCAGCGACGCCGCGUGCGGGAUGACGGCCUUCGGGUUGUAAACCGCUUUUGACUGGGAGCAAGCCCUUCGGGGUGAGUGUACCUUUCGAAUAAGCACCGGCUAACUACGUGCCAGCAGCCGCGGUAAUACGUAGGGUGCAAGCGUUAUCCGGAAUUAUUGGGCGUAAAGGGCUCGUAGGCGGUUCGUCGCGUCCGGUGUGAAAGUCCAUCGCUUAACGGUGGAUCCGCGCCGGGUACGGGCGGGCUUGAGUGCGGUAGGGGAGACUGGAAUUCCCGGUGUAACGGUGGAAUGUGUAGAUAUCGGGAAGAACACCAAUGGCGAAGGCAGGUCUCUGGGCCGUCACUGACGCUGAGGAGCGAAAGCGUGGGGAGCGAACAGGAUUAGAUACCCUGGUAGUCCACGCCGUAAACGGUGGAUGCUGGAUGUGGGGACCAUUCCACGGUCUCCGUGUCGGAGCCAACGCGUUAAGCAUCCCGCCUGGGGAGUACGGCCGCAAGGCUAAAACUCAAAGAAAUUGACGGGGGCCCGCACAAGCGGCGGAGCAUGCGGAUUAAUUCGAUGCAACGCGAAGAACCUUACCUGGGCUUGACAUGUUCCCGACAGCCCCAGAGAUGGGGCCUCCCUUCGGGGCGGGUUCACAGGUGGUGCAUGGUCGUCGUCAGCUCGUGUCGUGAGAUGUUGGGUUAAGUCCCGCAACGAGCGCAACCCUCGCCCUGUGUUGCCAGCACGUC
rnacentral:rRNA from 1 species